GAGCUGCCGGGAGCUGCCGGAGCUGUCGUAAGCGCCGCGCCCGCCCGGCUUGGCGGGCUCCUCGCUGCCGCCGGGCCGGGUCAGCCCCUGGGCCUGCUCGUCCGCGGCCGCCGCGCUGGGGCGGCCCGUGCGGGGCCGGCGCCGCUGGCGGAGCGCUGGUGUGUUCCCCGCGCCGGGAGGACCAGCUCCGGGCUGCCGGCCCGGCCCGGCCCGGCCGCGCUUGCUCGCCUCGGGCGCUGCAGUGAUCUGUCAUACAGUUUGGCCACCUGCCAUGUGAUGGAGCAAUGUAACUGAGUUGUGGGUUGACUUAAGCUUGCGUCACCACCCUGACCCAGAUUGCAUCUGCAGUCAUCUGGAUCUGACUACAUGCCUGAAGUGAUAAAAGAUGCUGUGGAAACAUGGAUAUCUGGGGCCUUGGCAAAGUAUCCUCAUAUACAUAUGCAGUUGCCAAAUCCUGUCUCUUUAUUGCUUGAUCGUCUGGAAGACAAAAGAUUGAGAAUCAGUAGAAGAAAAUACUGUGAUGUGGCCAUGGAAAGCACAUGCUCUUUCUAACAAUUUACAGUUGCACUGUGACCCCAACAAGAACCUCCCCCUGAUUACCUGUGAUCUCUUACUGUAAAAAUGUUGUUUCUUUUCAAAACACAAGUGUCCAUGCAAAAAUGCUGUGAUUCUCCAUGCAGUUUAAAGUAGAUUUAGAAAUUAAGGAAAGGCUGGUAUGGAACAAAAGGAAAAUCAAAUUAUCCCAGCAACUUUGCACUUCCUUGUAAUCCAGGUCCUGUCUUUGCAGGUAUUAUGUGGCAUACACACUCAGUGAGGCCUAUGAGAAUUUUCCUUGAGUGAAGACUGCAGGAGUUAGCCCAAACAAAUCACACUGUUCUAAAAUUGGCCAGUAAGUAAUAGGUGGGCUCUCUAGAGAAAAAAAAAAAGAAACCAAAACCCAGGAAUAAAAAUUAGUGAGAGCCUGAUCUUCUGCAGUGUCACCUUUCACAAUUGAGUGAUUGACAAAACUAAAAGAGGUGAGCUAAGUCACCUUGAGGAUAGAUCUUGUUGUGGAAUAGAAGUAAACCCACUGGCAUGCUCAUUCCUGUUAGGUCUGAUAGAACUGCUGUAUGAUAAAGAUAAUUUUCUAAAAAUCAACUGUAAAGCUAGAGGUCACCCAAUAAGACAGUGACUUGGCAAAUUUUUCAUUGCAAAGUGUAUGAUAGUUUCAUGCCUUCAAUCUGUAUCACUGCAGACAGUGCUGAAUUCAAUGAAUUUUGAAUGUCUCUAGGAAUUCUAUUGUUUUCCAUGAGUAGAUCAUGAAAAGAAACCUUUGAUUUCUAUUAAUUAUCUAUCUUCGAAUGAAAAGCUAUUUUGUGUGUACCUAUGUUUAAUAACAGGAUAUGUAACAAACACUUAUUUUUACUAAACUAAUAAAACAUAAAUGUAUCAAA